AUGGCCACAAAUGGGAAGGUGACUGAAAAAUCUGGCACAUCGGAUUGCGAUGAAGAUCGGAUAUCCACUUGUAACAUCACUAAGGCUGGGAUUGGGGGCCCUCUUAUUGACACUUGUGGGAAUUUUGUUGGUAUGAACUUCUAUGGCGAGAAAAGAACUCCUUUUUUACCAGCGAGUGUACUUUCGAAGGUCUUGGGGGAGUUUAUUGGACAAUGGCCUGAGGAUGCCUUGCCUAUUAUUGGCAAUGCUGAUGAAAAAAGUGACAGGUGGAAAGUGCCCGAGCCAUCGUGGAUGAGUUCACCUGUGGAGUCACUUGUCGAGAUAGUUUGCCGGCAGCCAACCUACUGA
rnacentral:rRNA from 1 species